CUUCUGUCAAGGCCGGUGUCUCCUCGGAUCCGGGUCCCCCUCUGUACACGGGAGGGGCCUGGCUGUCACAAUGACACCCUUUUGGGUGUGCGGGGAAAACACGGCUGAAUGUUAAAUAAACACGCGCUAAUUACCCUGAGAAUAUUUAUUGAGGUUUUCCCACGUUGUAAUAAGAAAUUAUUGAAACAUAUAUCACCCACCGAGCUGUUAAUCAUUGGUAAAUAUAUUUUAAAUACAGCAGUCCAUUAGUAUUUUAAUUUAGCCUGUCUCCUGGAGAAUAUGUGCUGUAUGAGACAAAUGUCUCCAGCUCCAGAGCCAAGGGAAAAAUUUCCUCACCUAGUUAAUCUUUAUGUUUUCCUCUCAGGGAGGAAAUCCCGGCUGCACCAGCAAAAGAAAUGUUCCCUGGGGUCCAGUAUUGAUGAUCAGUGUGUGUAAACAUCCAUCAAGAUCACUGAAAAUUAAUAAUAUGCCACUUAAUGUGAUAUAUAAAAGGUAUUUAAUGUACACAUUUUGGUUAUUUCUUUUUUCUUGCUGAGAACAAUACUACAAUGAGAAUUCUCUUACACAUGUCUUUCUAUGUUUUUUUCCUCCUAAAAAACAGAGUCAUAGAAAUCAACUUCCUGGAUCAAAGAAGAUCUGAGAAAGGUCACACCUUGAGUACCUUGAGAAAGGUCUCUGAAGAGAAGUCCAUCUGCUACAUCUCCUGGUUCCCCCAGCCACUUGCUCAUCAACUUGUUCUGGAAGUCACUGUCUGCCUGUGAUUCUCUCUUCCAUUCCCUGAAAUCUGUUCACCCUGCAUGGCUGGGGCUCUAUCUCCUUCCCUGUGAUUUAUCACCACAACACCUCUUGCCGUUCUACUCUUUCAUUUGUCUGCUUUCAAUAAUUAUUUAAGCUUUAUUAGAUAUUUAUCAAGUAAACUGUCAGCUUCUGAAGUUUGCUUAUUGUAGCCAGAGGUUUAGAAGGGCAAUUUAUAUGCAUCUCAGAGCUCACACGGCAAAUCCUCUCUCCGGAUUGAAAUUAUGAUAUGAACAGGAUGUUUUAUGAGAUAAUAGAAGGAAGGUUUCAAAUUCUAGGGUUGGAUAUGUUGGAAUUUUUUUUCUCCCUCUGAGCUUUCCUGAGAAAGAAAUAUGUAAGUAGCUCGGAUGGCCAGGGAUCGGAGGAAAGGAGGGUGUGGAAAUGCGCUCAUUGUGGGGAGAAGAAACAGAUGAAUGGUCCGGUUCAGAUGGCCUUAAAAUUCAUGAGGUUCCAUGCAAGCCAAGUUAAACACCUCUGGGCUCUGUAGGCUACGUAGCUCCCUGAACUCCGCCGAGAUGGUAGAUUUAUCAGGCUGUAGGGCACUGCAGGGGUGCCACCAGCCAGGGGAGAGCUCGGGCUAGAUGUUAGAUGAAGUUGCAACAGGAUAGGUGAGCAUCCUGAACCAGAACGCAGGCAGUGGGAUGCAUUCAGAUGGCGGCCUUUGAAGAGGAUGAAAGCCACAGGGCUAGGCUAGCAUGAUAGGAGUCGCACAGUCUUUUUAUUUCUGUUUCCAGUUUGAGAUAACCCUGAAGGGGUAGGUAUUUUUAAUACCAUAGUUUUUAUAUGUAGAAACCAAAGCACCAACAACUCACUGAAGAAGACAUCUGUUGUUUUUGCUUGUCUGGCAUCUAUUCCACCCCUGGUUUUGGCAACAGCAGCCAGAGUUUCUUUGCGGAGGGGGAAAUCAUCCAUCCUCCUUUCUCAGUUCAUGAAGUUGGGGAUGGAUCUAUCCUGCCUCCAGCUUCA
rnacentral:lncRNA from 1 species